CACUUAACUAAAUUUGUCUGGAUUCCAAAUUAUUUGAUAAGACCUGAAGUAAUGAAAAUUUACUUUAAUAGAUGUUGGGAUAAUUAUUUUAUUAUUAUGAGACUGUAUCCACUAUUAUUCAUAGGGUCUUUGAUCAUGUAGACUAUUGGGAACAGGUGACAGUAGAAAACUUUCACUUAUAAGAAGAUAAAAUUUGAUUUUAUUUAAAUCCUCCUUUAAAAACUCAUACUUUUCAAUAAGCUGCCCUGUAAAGAAGUCAAUCUUAUAGAGUAUUUUUACAAAUGAUCCUACUAUCAAAGUAGUUAGAGAGAGAAAGUGAAAAGGUGCUUAGUGUUUAAUUUGUCUAACAUCCAAAGUCUCAUUCAGUGAGGUACAAUGUGAACAAAAUAGAUUUGAUACCAGCUGAAUAUGACUUUGUAAAUUUCAAAAGUAAACAAAUAAAUAAUCCUUAGAGUUUGGCAAAAUCCUUAAACCUAAAUUAGUUCAGUGUCUUGAGUUCCAACCAACGACACUAAAAUUCCAACAUUAGACUAUUUUUUUUCUAAAUUUAAAUCUAAUUUACUGUAGUCUAAGAGGUACAGAGAUUUUCCUAAUCUGGAUGAAGACUAUACAAUAUUUUGUUUUGGAUAAGAUUCAUAAUACCCCUUUAGGCUCUAAAACUGACUCCAACAAACUCUAGAAUGAUGGCUCAACAUGUCUGACUACAUGGAUAAAUCAAGAAUUUCACAAUGGAAUACUACUCAACCAUAAAAAAGAAUGAAAUAAUGCCACUUGCAGAAACAUGGAUGGAACUAGAGACUCUCAUCCUGAAUGAAGUAAGUCAGAAAGAGAAAGACAAAUACCAUAGGAUAUCACUUAUAUCUGGAAUCUAAUAUAAGGCACAAAUGAACCUUUCCACAGAAAAUAAAAUCAUGGACUUGGAAAAUAGGGGAGAGGAGGAGGGAGUUGUGGAUUGGGAGCUUGGGGUUAAUGGAUGCAAACUAUUGCCUUUGGAAUGGAUUAGCAAUGAUAUCCUUCUGUGUAGCUCUGAGAACUAUCUAGUCACUUAUGAUGGAGCAUGAUAAUGUGAGAAAACAGAAUGUGUACAUGUAUGUGUAACUGAGUCACCAUGCUGUAUGGUAGAAAAAAAUGUAUUGGGGAAAUAAUUUUAAAAAUAAAAUUUAGAAAAAGAAUUUCAAAAAUACUUGAAGUUCAUUUUGAUAAAAAGGGAGUAUAAAGUGAAGUUCUAAUUUCACCAAAUGUUCAUUAUAAACUUAAAGAAAAUUUAAGCUCUCAGUUAUUCCCAGAAGUACUUCCUCUGCCAUAACCCUUCACAAACUCUUGCACACACAAACACACACAGGUGCACAUUAACAUGCAUGUGUGUUCGAAUGGAAAAAAAAAUAUAUUUUAUUAAAUGUAGUUGAUUUACAAUGUUGUACCAAUUUCUACUGUAUAGCAAAGUGACUCAUUUAUAUAUAUACACAUUCUUUUUCUCAUACUAUCUUCCAUAAAGGUCUAUUCCAAGAGAUUUGUUAUGUUUCCCUGUCCUAUACAGUAGGACCUCAUUGUUUAUCCAUUCUAAAUAUCAUGGUUUGUAUCUACUAAUCCCAAACUCCCAGUCCAUCCCACUCCCUUCCUCCCCACCUCCCUGGGCAAACAAAACUCUGUCUUCUAUGUCUAUGAGUAUUGAUUCAUUUGUGCCACAUUUUAGACUUUCUAUAAUAAGUAAUAUCAUAUGAGUAAUAUCAUAGGGUAUGUGUCUUUCUUUGUCUGACUUGGUUCACUUAGUAUGAAAAUCUCUAGUUUCUGCAAAUGCCAUUAUUUUGUUCUUUUUUAUGGCUAAGUAGUUUUCCAUUGUUUAUACAUACCACAUCUUUAUACAUUCACCUGUCAAUGGACAUUUAGGUUGCUUCUAUGUCUUGACUAUUAUGAAUAGUGCUGCAAUGAACAUGGGUGGAUUUAUCUUUUUGAAUUAUAGUUUCAAGUGGGAAGGCUUUCAUCUUUUCUCAGUUGGGUAUUUUAUUGGUUGUGGGUUUGUCAUAAAUGGCUUUUAUGAUGUUGAGAUAUGUUCCCUCUAUACCCACUUUGGUAAGAGUUUUCAUUAUGAACAGAUGUUGAAUUUUGGCAAAUGCUUCUCGUGCCUCUAUUAAGAUCAUGUGGUCAAUCCUAGAGAACGUUCCAUAGGCACUUGUAAAGAAUGUAUAUUCUGAUUUUUAAUGGAUGUAAUGUCCUGAAAAUAUCAAUUAAGUCUAACUGUUUUAUUGUGCCAUUUAGGAUCUCUAUUGUCUUACUAAUUUUCCAUCAGGAAUAUAUAUUGAUUGAUGUGAGUAGGGUGUUAAAAUCUCCUAUUAUUGUAUUUUCAUCAAUAUCUCCUUUUAUAUCUGUUAGUAUUUCUUGUAUAUAUUUGGGUGAUCCUAUAUUAGGGGAAUAUAUAUUGGAGAGUCUAAUAUCCUAUUCUUGAAUUGAUCCUUUUAUCAUUAGUGUACUUUUUUUUUUUUUUUCUUUUUGUUGUUGUUGUUGUUGCUAUUUCUUGGGCCACUCCCGCGGCAUAUGGAGGUUCCCAGGCUAGGGGUUGAAUCGGAGCUGUAGCCACCAGCCUACACCAGAGCCACAGCAACGCGGGAUCCGAGCCACGUCUGCAACCUACACCACAGCUCACGGCAAGGCAACGCCGGAUCGUUAACCCACUGAGCAAGGGCAGGGACCGAACCCGCAACCUCAUGGUUCCUAGUCGGAUUCGUUAACCACUGCGCCACGACGGGAACUCCUCAUUAGUGUACUUUUUAAAUUUUGCUUAUGGCCUUUGUUUUAAAGUCUACUUUGUCUGAUAUUAUUUAUGUGACUCCUGCUUUCUAGUCAUUUCCAUAAGCAUGAAAUAUAAUUUUCUAUCCCCCCACUUUCAAUUUAUGUUCCUUUUACCCUAAGGAAGGUCUCUUGUAGGUAACAUAUUUUUGGCAGCAUAUUGUAGACUUUUUUUUUUUUUUAAUCCAGUCUGCCACUCUAUGCUUUUUGAUUGGAGCAUUCAGUCCAUUGACAUUUAAGGUAAUUAUUGAUAAAUAGGUAUUAUUUAUUGUCAUUUUAAACCUUGUUUUCCAGUUAAUUCUUUGUUUCUCCUUUGUUAUUUUGUUGUUGUUGUUGGAUAAUUUCCCUUUAUUUUAUGCUUGUGUCCUCUUCUUUUUAGUCUUUGUGAAUAUAUUGUUUGGUUUUGAUUUGUGGUUGCCCUGUUUUUUCAAGCAUGUUAACCCUUUCCUAUAUCUGCUUGCUUUAUCCUGAUAGUCAUAUAGGCUCAAACACAUU
rnacentral:lncRNA from 1 species